GUGCUCUGGGUGUAACGGUAACACACCCUCACUACUCAUUUGAAUUUCGAGGGGUUCCGGGUUCGACUCCCGGAGAGCGCC